ACUUUAAAAUUUAACAUGGACAACCAGGAGACAUUGCAGACCCUUACCCCAACAUUUCAGACUGAGACACGCAGGGGAUCAUUCCAGAGUGAGUAGCGAUGCUGUGUGACACAGCAGUGGUCUUGAAGUGGGGUCCUUUGACCUGCAGCAUCUCAGAGAGCUUGGAGAUGCCGGCUCCUCCCCUCAGACCCAGGAAUCAGAAACUCUGGGAGAGGGCAGCAACCUCUGUUCCAAGCACCCCACCAUGGAUGUUGGUGCCCCCUGGAAUGUGAGAACCGUUGGGAGAAAGAAGAAGAGCAUGUUACAGCAGAAAGAGAAGAGUCCUGUAUUCAGGAAAGCACAGAUAGAAACUCAGAAAGAUCGACGUGCCCAGAAAAUCAGUGUUCUGAAAGGCCACUUGUCGAGUGGCAUUUCUAGUUUGCUCCCUGAAUUUUCAGAAGAGACUACUGAAUUAACUAAUAAAAGAGAAUGAAUCAUUCAGAGGGAAUGAUCAGUUCUACCAAAGUCCAGGCAUCCAGCAAAGAG
rnacentral:lncRNA from 1 species